GAUGAACGCUGGCGGCGUGCCUAAUACAUGCAAGUCGAGCGAACAGACGAGGAGCUUGCUCCUCUGACGUUAGCGGCGGACGGGUGAGUAACACGUGGAUAACCUACCUAUAAGACUGGGAUAACUUCGGGAAACCGGAGCUAAUACCGGAUAAUAUAUUGAACCGCAUGGUUCAAUAGUGAAAGACGGUUUUGCUGUCACUUAUAGAUGGAUCCGCGCCGCAUUAGCUAGUUGGUAAGGUAACGGCUUACCAAGGCAACGAUGCGUAGCCGACCUGAGAGGGUGAUCGGCCACACUGGAACUGAGACACGGUCCAGACUCCUACGGGAGGCAGCAGUAGGGAAUCUUCCGCAAAGGGCGAAAGCCUGACGGAGCAACGCCGCGUGAGUGAUGAAGGUCUUCGGAUCGUAAAACUCUGUUAUUAGGGAAGAACAAAUGUGUAAGUAGCUAUGCACGUCUUGACGGUACCUAAUCAGAAAGCCACGGCUAACUACGUG
rnacentral:rRNA from 1 species